UACGUAGGUGGCAAGCGUUGUCCGGAGUUAUUGGGCGUAAAGCGCGCGCAGGCGGGGCGGUAAGUCUCUGGUGAAAGCGCUCGGCUUAACUGGGCGAGGGCCGGGGAGACUGCCACGCUGGAGGGGAGCAGAGGCGAGUGGAAUUCCGGGUGUAGUGGUGAAAUGCGUAGAGAUCCGGAGGAACACCAGUGGCGAAGGCGGCUUACUACACAACGAUUGACGCUGAGGCACGAAAGCGUGGGGAUCAAACAGG
rnacentral:rRNA from 1 species